CGGGGCGUGGCGCAGCUUGGUAGCGCACUUGCUUUGGGAGCAAGGGGUCGGGGGUUCGAAUCCCUCCGCCCCGACCA
rnacentral:tRNA from 4 species